ensembl:lncRNA
GUCAAGAAAAUAUGUGUUUACUGUACAGUGUUUGCAUAUGCAUUUAUUUAAAAGUAUAACUUAAUACCGCUGUAUCAGCUGUUCUUUCCCAAAGGAGGGAGAAGAACGCUCUGCGCGAGUUGUAAACUAGCAACGACAUAUUCGCCAGUGAUUUAGUCAAUUGCGCUGGAUGCAAGAUAGGGCCCUUUACAUUUAUUUGACCAGUCCUUGUUGUUGUUCCUUUAAUGUAAUUCUUCUCGCUCCGUGGAUUGUUAACUGGCGAACACAGCUCAUAUGAAGGAGAACAGAAAUUGCGCUGCGAUAGAUCGGGGUAACACCACGUUUAAUGAGCCUCUCUCAGUCUAGGAAAGAACAGGUUAUUCAUUAUGGUUAAAUGUAAGAACUCUUGGCCACAAUACAACCAACAUCAUGUCCAGAUGUUGUGUCAGAGCCCAAGGAUUUAACAAACUGGAUCAUAUGCUGUCUUUUUGGACGAUGGUAGUUUAAUUAGAGGAAUGAAUCCUGCAGCCGAACAGGGUUAAGAUGGUGGUGUUUAUUAGGAAAAUCAGUUGAAAGGCACAUCAGGUUGGUUGCUUAAUUUAUCAUAGGUGGUUUGUUGUUUGAUAAAUUUUUCCCAGUUAUUAUACAAUUUUACAUUCCAGAACAAGUCACUGGUUUGAUUCUUGUAUAGGUGUCAAUGAUUUGUUAAAUCCGGUGACAUAAAUAUGUAUUAAAUAUGUGAAUUGUGUUUUUUGAUUUUUCAAUGCUGAUGUUUUCUUUGAGUUUUAUGUGGACCUCAAUAUUGCCAUCUUUGUGACCUUCCAGGUAUUGAUACGUAAUAACUUUCCACCAUUUUAAUUUCCACAGACAAUGUUAAUACAUUAAAAUACACGUUGGAUUGUAUGUACUUUUGUACCCUGUAUCCUUUUAGAUAAAAAUUUCCCUCCAACAUUGCUUUCAUAUAUGUUUUCUAAAUGGCUAUCUCCAGAAUAAUCAGGUGCUAUCAAGUUGAAAGGACCAAGAAGAUAUCAAGCAAAUAUAUGUCAGUUCAAAUUUUAUUGAUGAUUAAACUAACACAUGUCAGUGAUACGCCUCAUGCUCAUGAACCUCUGGCCGCUCAUGCCCAUAUCCCUGAAGCUCCUGUACUCUCCGGGCCUCAUGUACAUCAUCCUGCCCUUGUAGUGGGGCUGCUCGUACAUCAGCCAGUGUCCGUCCAUCACGUUGCAGGACUGGCAGUCGGACAUGCGGUAACGAUCCUGGAUGUUGUCACAGUCGUCCAUCAUCUCGUUGGACUGACCACCGAAGUUCUCCCUCUCGUAGAUCUUCAUCCUGAACUGGCCUCUGUGCUAGGGGAUCAUUCUGCAGGACCUGAUGUUGUCAAACAUCAUUCCCAUGCUCUGCAUGCGGUGCAUGUCGUUGUACUCUCCCCUUCUCAUGAAGAACUGCUGGCCCAUGUAGUUGUUCCUCUCAUAGAGCAUGAAGCAGCCGCUGUCCACCCUGCAGGACUGGCACCUGCUCAUGUAGGAGGACAUGUCGGAGCAGUCGCUCAUGCACUCAUAGGAGCGACCCUGGAAGUUCUUCUCCUCGUAGAAAGUGAUCUGAAACAAAACAUUGGUCAACCAUUGUAGAUAAUACUGGAUUAUUUUAUCCAUUACUGAUUAGUAUUUAUUUGAAAGAAAAUCAGCCAUCAGUUAAUAUACUAUCAUUAAACCAUGUAUAUUAAAUAAUGUAAUAUAUAAUGUAUAACUCUUAUAUAUUUAUAUAAAUACAUUACAUUAAAAAAUGUUUUACCUUGCCCAUCAUGAUUGCUUUGGUUACUCAGGUCUGUCAGAGAUCGGUUGGUGAACUGAUACCCUACCUGUGUCAGACUCAUACUUUUAUACCAGAACAGACUCAAACACUGCCUGACACCCCUAUUUUGCAAACAACUGACCAAGCAACAUGCUAUAGAAAUCCAUACAGAGGCUUACUCAUGCUCUA